AUGUAAUUGAAUUUAGGAGGAUGAGUAAGUAGAUUUUGCAGUUGGAAGUGAAGGCUCCCCAACAAGGAAGUAAUUAAUGGGGAACAGGGCCUCUGAGAGCCUUGGACUCACAUUUUUUGUGUCACCAAGAAAGGGAGUUCUUUCCCACCAGCUGCAGUCAGAAGAAUUGAGAUUGGCAGCUGCUGUCAUGUGACCUUCCGGAACCAAUCACUGUGGCAGGUAUUUUGGGACCAGAGGCAACAGCCUAAGGAUGAAAGUGGAGUCUUCUGAGAAUAAUGAGGAGGAUGGGAAUAGAUUACAUCCUUGAUAAUAAUUGUUGAGCAGCUGCACCAAACCUGGAAAAGAACUUCCUACUUUCAGGAAUAAAACUCCUGUUGUACAGAGCAUUUUUAGACAGGAGGAAGAAGCCACUCGACUUUAUUGCCUGGCUACCUCUUCCUCAGCCUUAUCACCACGUUACUCCAUUUACUCAUUUACUUGUUAGUUCACCUUACAAAGUUUUUUGGUGAGGGCAGAACUUUUGACUGUUUGGUUUGCUACUGCAGUCCCAGAUUCCAUCCUAUCUACUAAAGAGAGGUCUCCCCUGACUCCUGCUCGUGGACCAUCACCUCAGUGCU